AUGGAAGGGAAGAGAGCGCCGGCGGCCGCCGCAGCAGCCAUCUCGGCCGUGCUCGACGACGACGACCUCCUCGGUGAGAUCCUCCUCCGCCUCGCCUUCCCCACCAGCCUCGUCCGCGCCGCGCUCGUCUGCAAGCGCUGGCUCCUCCACGCCGCCGCGCCCGCCUUCCUCCGCCGCUUCCGCGGCCUCCACCAGCCCAGCCUUCUCGGCUUCUACGUCGUCAGCACAGCCAUCCACCCCCCUCGGUUCGUGGCGCUCCCCCAGCCCCCUGAGCUCGCCGACGUCGUCCGCCGCGGUAGCUUCGAUCUGGAUUCCUUGGGCCCCGACAGGUUCGACCUGGAUUGCUGGAACGGCCUCCUCCUCCUCUCAACCUUCGAGAUGUACCCGGACCGCACCAUGAACCCAACAAGGGUGCGUUGUCCCCUCUACCCUGCGAGGGACACGGCCAUCCUCCCAACAGUCCCCAUUACCAGCAUCCAUCACGACGGCUUCACAUACCACGAUCGUGAGAUCCUCGUCAGUGGGAGCGGCGGCCAGUGUCUGUCCUACUUCUGUUUGGCAAUAAUGGAUAAAGAGCAGCAGACGGUUGUGGAUGUGUACGCACUACAACAAGGUACCUGGACCAUCUACUCUUCCUCUGUAACUGAAAUCCCUAGAAUUGGACUGCUCUUGCCUUCUACUUUGAUUGGUGACACUAAUAAAAUCUACAAUGUGGCCUUUGUGAACAACAGUUAUAAGUUGAUCCUGCUAGACCUUGUGUCCGCAUCUUUGUCAUUAGUGAACUUUCCGGAAGAGGUUAAGGGCUUGAGCUUCGAGCUGUCACUCACGGAUGAUUCUCAGCUUCAUCUGAUCCAUGUAAAAGGGUCUCAGCUUCGCAUCUGGCUCCACAGAAUGGAUAGCAAUGGCGUCUCCAACUGGUUGCUUGAGCGUACCAUUUGUUUGCGUGAGAUAUGUGCUAACUAUAGGAUACCAACUUGCAUGUUCAAGGAUGGGAGUGAUUCAGCAUUUACCAGGAUGCAUGCGGUUGGGGUGAAUGCCGAGUUUGUUUUCUUGGAGAUGGAAGAUGUCCUCUACCUGUUUGAUAUUAAGAGCAAGGCGGCAAAGCAGGUUUACAAGAUGACGCCAGAGGAUAACAUUUUGAAUAGUGUCAUUCCUUUCAUGAUGGUUUGGCCUCCUAAAUUCCCUGCGAUGAAGGAGAUGCAAGAUCCAACAGAAUUACCCUGA
rnacentral:rRNA from 1 species